AUGUUGACAGAAAUCACCAUGAGCUCACACAUCUUCAUCUGGACACUGAUCAUCUUUAUUCAAGAUUGUCAAGCUGAGAUCACAGUGAUUCAGACUCCAUCAGUGAAACCUGUUACAGUAGGAGAGACGGUCACUUUGAACUGUAAAACCAGCAGAGAUGUGGAUUGUUGUUACACAAGAACCAGCAGUGACAGAUCUGGUUCAGCUCUUAGUUGGUAUCAUCAGACACCUGGAGAAGCUCCUAAACUCCUGAUAUAUUAUACAUAUAACCUUCAGUCUGGAACUCCAUCUAGAUUCAGUGGCAGUGGAUCAAACACAGAUUUCACUCUGAGCAUCAGUGGAGUCAAGACUGAAGAUGCAGGACAUUAUUACUGUCAGAGUUUUCACAGCAUCAGUGGUAGCUAUGUGUUCACACAGUGAUAAAGAGUCGUACAAAAACCUCCAUCAGUCAGACUGACACUGACACACCUGACUGAUUCUACAGCUGUACUCACACUAGUGAGUGAUGUGAGGCCAAGUAUGAUGUUCCAUACUCGGAAUUUGUGCUCUGCAUUUAACCCAUCCAAGUGCACACACACAGCAGUGAGUAACACACACCCAGAGCAGUGAGCGGCCAUUGCUGUGGCGUGCGAGGAGCGCCGAUCAUUCACUGCCCCCACCUACAAUCCCUGCUGGUACCCAGCAAUGUUUGGGUUACAAGUCCGAGUCUCUAACCAUUAGGCCAUGACUGCCCAGUAAAUGUUUUUGAUUUAGGUGAACAUUACAAACACACCCUUUCAGAUUUUCACAGGUUUUCCUAUUAAACUUGGGUGUGCACACUGCGAAUCAC